UCAGUCGACUCCUACGGGGAGGCAGCAGUGGGGAAUAUUGCACAAUGGGGGAAACCCUGAUGCAGCCAUGCCGCGUGUGUGAAGAAGGCCUUCGGGUUGUAAAGCACUUUCAGUAGGGAGGAAGGUAGUGUAGUUAACACCUGCAUUAUUUGACGUUACCUACAGAAGAAGCACCGGCUAACUCCGUGCCAGCAGCCGCGGUAAUACGGAGGGUGCGAGCGUUAAUCGGAAUUACUGGGCGUAAAGCGCAUGCAGGCGGCCUGUUAAGUCAGAUGUGAAAGCCCGGGGCUUAACCUCGGAAUUGCAUUUGAAACUGGCAGGCUAGAGUCUUGUAGAGGGGGGUAGGAAUUUCAGGUGUAGCGGUGAAAUGCGUAGAGAUCUGAAGGAAUACCAAUGGCGAAGGCGGCCCCCUGGACAAAGACUGACGCUCAGAUGCGAAAGCGUGGGGAGCAAACAGGAUUAGAUACCCUGGUAG
rnacentral:rRNA from 1 species